GUCGAACGGAGUUACGAUGAAACCUAGUGAUUCGUAACUUAGUGGCGGCCGUGUGAGUAACGCGUGGAUAACCUGCCUUGCACUGGGGGAUAACACUUAGAAAUAGGUGCUAAUACCGCAUAAGCGCACGGAGCCGCAUGGCUCAGUGUGAAAAACUCCGGUGGUGUAAGAUGGAUCCGCGUCUGAUUAGCUGGUUGGCGGGGUAGAAGCCCACCAAGGCGACGAUCAGUAGCCGGCCUGAGAGGGUGAACGGCCACAUUGGGACUGAGACACGGCCCAAACUCCUACGGGAGGCAGCAGUGGGGAAUAUUGCACAAUGGGGGAAACCCUGAUGCAGCAACGCCGCGUGAGUGAAGAAGUCAUUCGUGAUGUAAAGCUCUAUCAGCAGGGAAGAAAAUGACGGUACCUGAGUAAGAAGCCCCGGC
rnacentral:rRNA from 1 species